AUCACUUCUUGGCCUUUUGGCUAAGAUCAAGUGUAAAUUUUAGAAUAAGCUUGCUUAUGCCAAAAAAAGCCUUGCUGAGAAUUUGAUAGGAAUUGCAUUAAAUCUAUCAAUCAGUUUAAGAAGA
rnacentral:snRNA from 1 species